GUGAAUCAUCGAAUCUUUGAACGCAAAUUGCGCCCUCUUUCGGGAGGCAUGUCUGUUUGAGGGCACCAUUUAACAAAUAAUGUGCGGGUUGCUAUGCGGCAUGCAUCCGUUGAUGAGCUUUUCCGAAAAACCAGGUUUUUGUGGAGGUGCAUAAUGAAUAGCGUGGGCGUUUUCUUUUGCUUCUCG
rnacentral:misc_RNA from 1 species